GAUGAACGCUGGCGGCGUGCCUAAUACAUGCAAGUCGAGCGAACAGACGAGGAGCUUGCUCCUCUGACGUUAGCGGCGGACGGGUGAGUAACACGUGGAUAACCUACCUAUAAGACUGGGAUAACUUCGGGAAACCGGAGCUAAUACCGGAUAAUAUAUUGAACCGCAUGGUUCAAUAGUGAAAGACGGUUUUGCUGUCACUUAUAGAUGGAUCCGCGCCGCAUUAGCUAGUUGGUAAGGUAACGGCUUACCAAGGCAACGAUGCGUAGCCGACCUGAGAGGGUGGUCGGCCACACUGGAACUGAGACACGGUCCAGACUCCUACGGGAGGCAGCAGUAGGGAAUCUUCCGCAAUGGGCGAAAGCUUGACGGAGCAACGCCGCGUGAGCGAUGAAGGUCUUCGGAUCGUAAAACUCUGUUAUUAGGGAAGAACAAAUGUGUAAGUAACUAUGCACGUCUUGACGGUACCUAAUCAGAAAGCCACGGCUAACUACGUG
rnacentral:rRNA from 1 species